CAGGCUGCAGCCCAAUUGGAGCAGGCAGGUGCUUUGCUUCCUGUUCCAUUGCUGACUUCAUCACCCGCCCGCGCUGAAGGGGAACAGGAAGACUUCCCCUGCCCACCGCUGCGGCCUCCAUACAACAGGAGCACAGAUCUGUACUGCAACAAGGCCAGAAGAAGUGCACACAGCGCAAAACUGCUGUCAGUCACCUCUGAGCGCCCUGCAUGAGGUCUGGAACUGGUGAUGUCCGCGUGAGCAGUUGAAGUGGAGUCGGACGACUGAAGCCUAGCGAAUUCGAUAAUCCAUGUAGCAGAUGCUAAAAAGAACAAACACACGCAGGGACGCUCCUAGUGGACACACGCAGGGACGCUCCACUAACAUCUAAAACUCUCUGUUUAAUAAAUAGUUCAUUCAUCUUCCAACUAUAAGAACAAGCUGCUUUACCAGCUUCUGCUGUCCUUGCAGUACGUAGUAUUAUUAUCACAGCCACA